rnacentral:rRNA from 1 species
GAUCCUGGCUCAGGAUGAACGCUAGCUACAGGCUUAACACAUGCAAGUCGAGGGGAAACGACAUCGAAAGCUUGCUUUUGAUGGGUGUCGACCGUCGCACGGGUGAGUAACGCGUAUCCAACCUGCCCACCACUUGGGGAUAACCUUGCGAAAGUAAGACUAAUACCCAAUGAUAUCUCUAGAAGACAUCUGAAAGAGAUUAAAGAUUCAUCGGUGAUGGAUGGGGAUGCGU